GCAGUCGAACGGGAUCCGGCCAAGCUUGCUUGGCCGGUGAGAGUGGCGAACGGGUGAGUAAUGCGUGACCGACCUGCCCCGUGCUUGGGAAUAGCUCCUGGAAACGGGUGGUAAUGCCCAAUGCUCCGCCCGGCCUCAUGGCCGGUCGGGAAAGCUUUGGCGGCACGGGAUGGGGUCGCGUCCUAUCAGCUUGUUGGUAAGGUAACGGCUUACCAAGGCUUCGACGGGUAGCCGGCCUGAGAGGGCGACCGGCCACAUUGGGACUGAGAUACGGCCCAGACUCCUACGGGAGGCAGCAGUGGGGAAUAUUGCACAAUGGGCGCAAGCCUGAUGCAGCGACGCCGCGUGCGGGAUGGAGGCCUUCGGGUUGUAAACCGCUUUUGUUCACGAGCAAGGCAUUCUUUUUGGGUGUUGAGUGUAGUGUUCGAAUAAGCACCGGCUAACUACGUGCCAGCAGCCGCGGUAAUACGUAGGGUGCAAGCGUUAUCCGGAUUUAUUGGGCGUAAAGGGCUCGUAGGCGGUUCGUCGCGUCUGGUGUGAAAGUCCGCCGCUUAACGGCGGAUUUGCGCUGGAUACGGGCGGGCUUGAGUGUGGUAGGGGAGAACGGAAUUCCCGGUGUAACGGUGGAAUGUGUAGAUAUCGGGAAGAACACCGAUGGCGAAGGCAGUUCUCUGGGCCAUU
rnacentral:rRNA from 1 species